UCGGAUGAAGAUCUUGGUGACUGAGUGGCGGACGGGUGAGUAACGCGUGGGUAACCUGCCUCAUACAGGGGGAUAACAGUUAGAAAUGACUGCUAAUACCGCAUAAGACCACAGCACCGCAUGGUGCAGGGGUAAAAACUCCGGUGGUAUGAGAUGGACCCGCGUCUGAUUAGGUAGUUGGUGGGGUAACGGCCUACCAAGCCAACGAUCAGUAGCCGACCUGAGAGGGUGACCGGCCACAUUGGGACUGAGACACGGCCCAAACUCCUACGGGAGGCAGCAGUGGGGAAUAUUGCACAAUGGGGGAAACCCUGAUGCAGCGACGCCGCGUGAGCGAUGAAGUAUUUCGGUAUGUAAAGCUCUAUCAGCAGGGAAGAAAAUGACGGUACCUGACUAAGAAGCACCGGCUAAAUACGUGCCAGCAGCCGCGGUAAUACGUAUGGUGCAAGCGUUAUCCGGAUUUACUGGGUGUAAAGGGAGCGUAGACGGAGUGGCAAGUCUGAUGUGAAAACCCGGGGCUCAACCCCGGGACUGCAUUGGAAACUGUCAAUCUAGAGUACCGGAGAGGUAAGCGGAAUUCCUAGUGUAGCGGUGAAAUGCGUAGAUAUUAGGAGGAACACCAGUGGCGAAGGCGGCUUACUGGACGGUAACUGACGUUGAGGCUCGAAAGCGUGGGGAGCAAACAGGAUUAGAUACCCUGGUAGUCCACGCCGUAAACGAUGACUACUAGGUGUCGGGCAGCAAAG
rnacentral:rRNA from 1 species